UAAGUCGAAAGUGGACAAAUCACAAAUCCCUUCAGGUAGAUGGCCCUGCUCGAUCUGAAGAAAAGGUGUAGGCACAAACUCAAUAAGAUGUACCUGGUAUAAGCUAUGGACAUGUAUGAGGUGCAUCAAUAUCAAAGAAAGUUUAACUGGGAAGAUAAUUUUUGUGUGUGGUAGAUGCACAAGGGCAAUAAACACCGAAGAUCUACAGAAAACAGAUUCCAUCACAUGUCAGGAGGAAGAAAUAGAA